rnacentral:snRNA from 1 species
GGAUGUGAGGGUGAUCUGGCUGUGACAUCUGUCACCCCAUUGACUGCCAGGGUUGAUUCGGCUGAUCUGGCUGGCUAGGUGGGUGCCCCCUUCCUCCCUCACUGCUCCAAGUGCGUCCCUCCCGAAGCUUCGCACUCGGUCGAAGAGGAUGGCAUUCCCCGAAUAGAGAAGGGAUCGGUCUUUGGUUGAGGGUAUAUGAGUAGCUGUGCUCCCCUGCUAGAACCUCCAAAGAAGCUCUAAAGAAUGGGCUUCAUGCCUUCACCACUCUGCCACUACAAACAGUGAGGGACAGAGAGAAGGAGAGACACCACUGCACUGCUUCACUGC